rnacentral:rRNA from 1 species
CGCUGGCGGCGUGCUUACACAUGCAAGUCGUACGAGAACUCUUUAGCUUGCUAAAGAUAGUAAAGUGGCGCACGGGUGAGUAACGCGUGGGUAAUCUACCUCCGAAUCUGGGAUAACCCGCCGAAAGGCGAGCUAAUACCGGAUAAUAUCUAUAGAACUUCGGUUUUAAAGAUCAAAGGUGGUCUCUACAUGUAAGCUACUGUUUGGAGAUGAGCCCGCGUACCAUUAGCUUGUUGGUAGGGUAAUGGCCUACCAAGGCUUUGAUGGUUAGCUGGUCUGAGAGGAUGAUCAGCCACACUGGAACUGAUAUACGGUCCAGACUCCUACGGGAGGCAGCAGUGAGGAAUUUUGCGCAAUGGGGGAAACCCUGACGCAGCAACGCCGCGUGAGCGAUGAAGGCUUUCGGGCCGUAAAGCUCUGUCAAGUGGGAAGAACAUGCUUGAUGCUAAUACCAUCUUGCACUGACGGUACCACUGAAGGAAGCACCGGCUAACUCCGUGCCAGCAGCCGCGGUAAUACG